UCCUCGGGCUUCGUCUUCGCGCGGUGAAUCUUCAUCGUCGGAAAACUUGAGCCGCCUGCGCCUUGUGCCUAACGCGAUCUCCCGUUCGCGAAAGUCGACACGUUAUUUUAUAUUGGGAUGUGCGAUAUACAACGUUACAACGGGGGAAAGUACGUUCAAUGAAUUAUAAUUGGGCUUUCCACUCAGCGGGAGCACGAAACGGGAGUGCCGGAAAGUAACAAGCCAGACUAUCGGAAGUAUGGUAGCAGAGAAAUCUUGCAGGCGCAGAAUAAGGAGGUUUAACACUCGAUUAAUCAACGUUCGAUCAACUGUCCGCGAACUGGAAAAUUGAGUAGAAACCUCCAUUGAAAAUCGCAGCGGUUCCGGACGUCAUCGUUGCUUGCAAUACGAAAGGACGCGAGCGGGAUUUGCGCGUUGUCGGUGCACCUCGACGCAUUCGGUUCCACGACCUCCUGCAACUCGAUCUCUCCAGAGAAAGAGCUUCGAGAUCUUAUCGCGGGAAACGCAGCCGGUUCGACGUACCAGAAGAAUAAAAAGUAAAAGAUGACAAAUGGUUCGUUUCGGCGGUUAUACGGCCAGGAUAAAGCGCGACGAACGGACGGGGUCGUACGCACUCGUUAUUUCGUACUUUGGAACAUGGCGAAAUGGGGGACACGACGGACCACGCAAUAAUACUGGCCUGAAAAAGCUGAAAAAGAGGGCCAGAAGGGCAGCCAUUACUUGCGACGCUUCGCUUCCAAACGAUCGCUAUUUAUCUCGUCGCAACCAGCGAGAUUAUGCAAAGAGUAGUCCUCCAACCCAACAAAGUCGAUGACUUGCCCAAUGUUUGUCAGAAACCUGCUGUCCAUUGAUGACACCGUCUGAAAGACAUUCCUCGGGAUUUUCACCAACACCUGCUACCACGUCGUCGUUUUUCGAUCAGAAAAGAGUACGGAUAAAUGGCUCUGAUACAUAGAGAACUGGUAGCCAGGUAUUUCCGCUUUGUGCUGGGCAACCGUGUCGGCCGCAUAAAUUGAUACAGAUGCGAGUUAGCUGGAGUUUUUCGCUUCCAUCCCAGAGGGAAUACCGCGAUACCAUAGAAACCAACUCGAAUGUUGCAAGCCGCGACGGAAAUGAGGCUGCCACUUUGUAUCGAAAAAUAUCUCGAUUGUCUUGAGAGUGAGAUUUUUCCCGGAAAACAAUACCUUAAAGAAAAAAAAAAGAGAGAAUACCUCGAUCGUCGACCUCGAUCACGACAGCCAUUCGUUGCAAAGAAAGCUUACCGUGCAAAUAGGUCGUCGAAGGUAAACCAAUAAUGAUCGCAUGAGCUACUUCGAGCACGUGCUAUUUGAUGUAAUUUACACUUUAUGACUAAGCGUAAAAAGGAAAACAGGGAAAAUGGCUUUUUUAUAAUUAUAUUUCCAGUUUUCUCAGUGAUAUAAACGUUUAUUGGAAAACUUGCGCGAAGCAAACCUUUUGAGAUAUAUUGUAUUAGAAGACUUAAAUGCGAACAAAAUCGAAAGUAAUGACUUCUUAUAUUGCAUCGGGAAAAGUAAUAAUUUUUUAAAACUAAAUAAUUUUUCUACAGGUUUAUCGCAAAA